rnacentral:rRNA from 1 species
UACGUAGGGUGCAAGCGUUAAUCGGAAUUACUGGGCGUAAAGCGUGCGCAGGCGGUGAUGUAAGACAGGUGUGAAAAUCCCCGGGCUUAACCUGGGAACCGCGCUUGAGACUGGCACGCUCGAGUUCGGGAGAGGAUGGUGGAAUUCCCAGUGUAGAGGUGAAAUUCGUAGAUAUUGGGAGGAACACCGGUGGCGAAGGCGGCUCUCUGGACCGGUACUGACGCUGAGGCGCGAAAGCGUGGGGAGCGAACAGG